rnacentral:lncRNA from 1 species
CACUUUUCUCUUCAGCUAAGCAUCAGGAAAUCUUGUCACUCCCUGAGUCUUCCAGGUCUAUCUGGGAGUAAGGCUGGGUCCAGCUCCUACUGGGUCACUGUUCUGGUCUUUUCUGGUUGAAGGAUCCUCGACUCCAGACCUUGCUACUGCUUGGCUGCCAUACCUGAUUCUGCCCGUCCCAUCCCUAUCUCCUCUGUCUGGGCC